UACAGAGGGGGCAAGCGUUAUUCGGAAUUAUUGGGUGUAAAGGGCGCGUAGGCGGCUAUGCAAGUGACGGGUGAAAUCCCUCGGCUUAACCGGGGAACUGCGUCUGAUACUGGAUGGCUUGAGAUUGGGAGAGGGAUGCGGAAUUCCAGGUGUAGCGGUGAAAUGCGUAGAUAUCUGGAGGAACACCGGUGGCGAAGGCGGCAUCCUGGACCAACACUGACGCUGAGGAGCGAAAGCCAGGGGAGCAAACGGG
rnacentral:rRNA from 1 species